GCUUGCUUCAUCAGCACAAAUAGAAACCAGAAUGAUACAGAGAUUAUUAGCAUGGAUCCAGUGCAAGGGUGGCACGCACAUUUGUGAACUGUUCCAGGCUUAA